rnacentral:tRNA from 1 species
CAUUAGAUGGCUGAAUGCAAGCAAUGGAAUUUUAAACCAUAUAAUAGUAGAAUAGCACCUACUUCUAAUGAC